UACAGAGGGGGCAAGCGUUGUUCGGAAUUACUGGGCGUAAAGGGCGCGUAGGCGGCCUUCUAAGUCGAACGUGAAAUCCCCGGGCUCAACCCGGGAACUGCGUCCGAUACUGGGAGGCUUGAAUCCGGGAGAGGGAUGUGGAAUUCCAGGUGUAGCGGUGAAAUGCGUAGAUAUCUGGAGGAAUACCGAUGGCGAAGGCAGGUCUCUGGGCUGACACUGACGCUCAUGCACGAAAGCGUGGGGAGCAAACAGG
rnacentral:rRNA from 1 species